rnacentral:rRNA from 1 species
CCCUUAGAUGUCCUGGGCUGCACGCGCGCUACACUGAUGUGUCCAGUAAGCACCUAACCUCUUCCGAAAGGAACGGGUAACCUUUGCAAAGCACAUCGUGAUGGGGAUAGAUUAUUGCAAUUAUUAGUCUUGAACGAGGAAUUCCUAGUAAGCACAAGUCAUCAGCUUGUGUUGAUUACGUCCCUGCCCUUUGUACACACCGCCCGUCGCUCCUACCGAUUGAAUGUUCCGGUGAGCUCUUCGGACUGCGCGGUCUGCAGUUUCUGCGUUCCGUGCGGAAAGUUGCGCAAACCUUAACAUUUAGAGGAAGGAGAAGUUGUAACA